rnacentral:rRNA from 1 species
AACGAACGCUGCGGCAUGCCUAACACAUGCAAGUCGAACGGGAUCCGGACUUCGGUUCGGUGAGAGUGGCGGACGGGUGAGUAACACGUGGGAACCUGCCUUUUGGUUCGGGAUAACCGCGGGAAACUGCGGCUAAUACCGGAUGCUCCCGUGAGGGAAAAGAUUUAUCGCCAGAAGAGGGGCCCGCGUCCGAUUAGGUA